UACUGGUGCCGUGCUGUCUGUGCUCGUGUAGACCGGGUGGCAACUUCUAUUUGUUUAAUGACAGCUCUCUCUUAAUAUGUUGUAGUAAAAAGUCGCAAUAUCAAAAUAUUAAUCGUAAUUUGCUAUUUAAAAUGCUAUUAAAUGAAAUUAUUGUUUCUAAUUGCAAUACUCUGUAUACACAAAUUUAUAAUUAUUGUUCGUUACAUUAAAUGAAUCAAAUAAAUAACUUAUUCAACUUUUAAUAUGGCAAAGUCCAAAACACUAAAAUAUUGUACCCGGGUUAUAACAACUCAGGCGGGAUUCUACACUCUUCUUGACAUUCUGCUGACUGUCAGUUGUUGGGUGUCAGACCGUCAACAUCUCCAGCAUCUCCUGAGGAUGCCUCGUAGAGAGGCGAAACACGUGUCGAGUUUUGUACUUUUGGUGGUGGGUUGUUAUAUUUAUUUGCGUAUUUAUUUUUGCGGUGGGAGGGUGGGAACAUUAAUUGCAUUGAAAAAUACGCAAGUAAGUAUAACGGGUUAGCACUGAUUGACUAACACGUUAUUUUCUCGCGGAUUAGCAAAGUAAUGUUUCUUGCUUUAAUUAGCAUGGAUUUCCGCAAAGUAACGCCUGAUUCUAUUAAUUACAAGCAUUUUUGUACUGAAUAUGCUUGUGCCGCACACUGGUGGAAUCUUACCUUAAGGGCCACCCCACUCUAGCGUCUCCCAAGCGUCAGCGUCAGCGCUAUGGAAAAUGGCGUCGCUGAGCAGUUGCGCCAACGUUGCGUGGAGCAGCAGCCAUAGAGUUGGCUAGACGCCGACGCUCGGGAGUCGCUACUGUGGUGUGGCCCUAACAAGAGAGAAAAUAUUCCACUGUAAUGUAUGUAUAUACUUUAUUUUACAUAGAAAUAAAAACACGAGAAACGCAGUUACAGAAUUAAUUAAAUACAACAAAGGCGAACUUAUCCCUGUAUAACCUUUGAGGAAAUGAGUAGAACAGAAGUAACGAUCAAUGAAUGACAAACAAAAACAAAAGUCCGGAACGUCAGAUUUUGCAUUAUUUAUUUGACAUUUUUUUCUUGAUAAAUGAUCCAUGACAAUAUUUUGAAAAACAUUUUUAUGCUCGUGCGUCGUUUCGUAGCUUCUCGUCGAGCUCGGCUAAUAACGCGAGCGGCACGCUGUCUGCAGAGCAGUUUUUUGUCGCCACAAUACGCCGUAUUUCUUGCAGCGCAACAAAGCCGAUCUAAUGGACCCCGUCUUAGUCACUGAAACUUAUCAUUGCCAUAAUUACGCUAAUUUAUUAAACACGUGACACUUUUUAUUUCACAUUGUUUGAUAACUUGAGUAAUUAUAAUGCAGACAGGUGUUAAAAUGCCGUCAUGUUUGUCAAGGUCGGUAUAGUGAUUAUUUUGUCUAUGUUAUUAUAUUUUUUUGUUAAAUUUGUCACCUGUAAUGAUAAUUAUACAAUACAGUCUUUGUACAAUUCGUAGAUAAAUAAAUUCGAGGAAGAUUACGCCUACAAAUGUAGCCUUAUGUUGAUUUUUAAAGUUCAUUAAUAAUAAUAUAUUAAUAUAAUAAGUUAAUUAUAAUGGUACCUAUAUACUAGUAUGUACGAAUAAACUGUAUAUUUACCUCCGCCACAAAUCGAAAUUUUGGUGUCUUAUUCGCAAAAGCAACUUAUAUGCCGAUACUUAUAUCAAUAUGAACUCUAAACAUAAAGUACAAAGUAUUGUAGCUUUAGAAGUCUUUGCAAAAUACCUGCAGAUUGUAUGUAAAAUUAUUUAGAACUACAAAGAAAGGAUAAUUUAAGGACAGAAGCUGUAGUUAGAAACUCGGUUGACUAAGUCAAAUCAACCCGAGUCUAAUGACCAAAGUUAAUACAAAAAAUAUUCCAAUAGGUCAAAAUAAUUCAACGACUAGUACUUGCUAAUUAAUCAAUCAGUAAUUGUUUAGCGUGGGAAGAGUCAAUUGCUAGAAUCAAUAACGUGAGAAAUAAUACUAUUCGUAAACAUGAUUUGGUUCUAGAAUUUCUUAGUUAUUAUUGUACCCAACCAACUAAAAAAGAGGAAUAAAAACACAAAACACGUAUACAUUAGGUACUUUUUUUUAUCUAAUUUAAAGUUUUUAUCUACACACAUAUCAUAAACCCUCUAUGAUGCCUUCAAAAUCCGUAAAUAAUGGCCAACAUUACGAUAAACUGUUUUGUUACAACAAAUUUCUUAUCUGUGAUGAUGUUCUAAUAUCAGUCUACAUCAAAAUCGAUUUGGUUACGACUUCAAAUUUAGAACAUCUUUGAAAAAAAAAGGAAUUCCAUUUGACCUCUAUUCUAAUAUCAGUCGAGAUGCCUUUUUGUUCGAAAUGAAAUGUCGAAAACUCGCAUGUUAGUUUGUAUCGAAUGAUACGGAAAUAGGCCCCCGACUCUAGUUUGUCUCUGAAUUAAAAAAAAAACUACGAAUGCGAAAAGAGAAUGAAAAAGUUUUUAUUUGCCGCCAUUUGACGUACAGUUUAUCUAUUAAUUAGUUAUAAGCAGAAAUCGGCGGGGGUGAGCUGUUUUUACGUCAUUAAUGUCAUGUAGAUUUUAAUAUGGAUAUGGAGUAUCCAUAUACAAAUAUUAAAAGAAGACAAGACUAAAAUUAUUAAACUAACAUUAAAAUUCACUACAAAACGAGUGUCAUUUUUUUUAUUAUUGGAAAUUAAAUUUUCUGUGCUAUUGUAAUAAAUAACUAUAAGUUUUUCUAUAUUUUUAUUUUUUUCGCCUUAUGUAUAUACAAUAAGAUCUUUCUACAUCCACUGAUGUUUGUAGAGGUAUUAAGCCUAAGCAAUGUUUGUUAUCUAUGUGGAAAAAUUCAAGAAAUGUUUAUUGAUUUUCAGAUUUAGAUAAAUUGUUUGUCGUGGAAACUGUAGAAAAAUCUGUACUUCGUUUAACGUUACCGAACUAAAUAUGGUAAUAGGACGAAUAGCUUUGAGCGCGUAUUCCUCUUUUUCAUUAUUCACCUUUUUUAUUUUUUUUCGUUAUUGAUCAGUUUUAUCACGUUUGUACAGGCGGGAUUCUACACUCUUCUUGACAUUCUGCUGACUGUCAGUUGUUGGGUGUCAGACCGUCAACAUCUCCAGCAUCUCCUGAGGAUGCCUCGUAGAGAGGCGAAACACGUGUCGAGUUUUGUACUUUUGGUGGUGGGUUGUUAUAUUUAUUUGCGUAUUUAUUUUUGCGGUGGGAGGGUGGGAACAUUAAUUGCAUUGAAAAAUACGCAAGUAAGUAUAACGGGUUAGCACUGAUUGACUAACACGUUAUUUUCUCGCGGAUUAGCAAAGUAAUGUUUCUUGCUUUAAUUAGCAUGGAUUUCCGCAAAGUAACGCCUGAUUCUAUUAAUUACAAGCAUUUUUGUACUGAAUAUGCUUGUGCCGCACACUGGUGGAAUCUUACCUUAAGGGCCACCCCACUCUAGCGUCUCCCAAGCGUCAGCGUCAGCGCUAUGGAAAAUGGCGUCGCUGAGCAGUUGCGCCAACGUUGCGUGGAGCAGCAGCCAUAGAGUUGGCUAGACGCCGACGCUCGGGAGUCGCUACUGUGGUGUGGCCCUAACAAGAGAGAAAAUAUUCCACUGUAAUGUAUGUAUAUACUUUAUUUUACAUAGAAAUAAAAACACGAGAAACGCAGUUACAGAAUUAAUUAAACGAGUAAUUACAAAACGAGUGUCAUUUUUUUUAUUAUUGGAAAUUAAAUUUUCUGUGCUAUUGUAAUAAAUAACUAUAAGUUUUUCUAUAUUUUUAUUUUUUUCGCCUUAUGUAUAUACAAUAAGAUCUUUCUACAUCCACUGAUGUGAGUGGAGUGUAUAUGUAAUUGUACAUUAAAUGCUGUCACCGUC